rnacentral:rRNA from 1 species
AGAUUGAACGCUGGCGGCAUGCCUUACACAUGCAAGUCGAACGGUAGAGUAGCAAUACUCGAGAGUGGCGAACGGGUGAGUAAUAUAUCGGAACAUGCCCAGUCGUGGGGGAUAACGUAGAGAAAUUUACGCUAAUACCGCAUACGAUCUACGGAUGAAAGCGGGGGAUUCGCAAGAACCUCGCGCGAUUGGAGCGGCUGAUAUCAGAUUAGGUUGUUGGUGAGGUAAAAGCUCACCAAGCCGACGAUCUGUAGCUGGUUUGAGAGAACGACCAGCCACACUGGGACUGAGACACGGCCCAGACUCCUACGGGAGGCAGCAGUGGGAAUUUUGGACAAUGGGGAAACCCUGAUCCAGCCAUCCCGCGUGUGCGAUGAAGGCCUUCGGUUGUAAGCACUUUUGGCUAGGAAGAACGGCGUGACCCUAAUACGGACGUCACUGACGUACCUGCAGAAUAAGCACCGGACUAAC